UACAGAGGGUGCGAGCGUUUAUCGGAAUUACUGGGCGUAAAGGGUGCGUAGGUGGUUCGAUAAGUCAGAUGUGAAAUCCCUGGGCUUAACCUGGGAAUUGCAUUUGAUACUGUCAAACUAGAGUGUGGUAGAGGUAAGCGGAAUUCCCGGUGUAGCGGUGAAAUGCGUAGAUAUCGGGAGGAACAUCAGUGGCGAAGGCGGCUUACUGGACCAACACUGACACUGAGGCACGAAAGCGUGGGUAGCAAACAGG
rnacentral:rRNA from 1 species